rnacentral:rRNA from 1 species
GGGUUGUGAGGUUAAGCGACUAAGCGUACACGGUGGAUGCCCUGGCAGUCAGAGGCGAUGAAGGACGUGCUAAUCUGCGAUAAGCGUCGGUAAGGUGAUAUGAACCGUUAUAACCGGCGAUUUCCGAAUGGGGAAACCCAGUGUGUUUCGACACACUAUCAUUAACUGAAUCCAUAGGUUAAUGAGGCGAACCGGGGGAACUGAAACAUCUAAGUACCCCGAGGAAAAGAAAUCAACCGAGAUUCCCCCAGUAGCGGCGAGCGAACGGGGAGCAGCCCAGAGCCUGAAUCAGUGUGUGUGUUAGUGGAAGCGUCUGGAAAGGCGCGCGAUACAGGGUGACAGCCCCGUACACAAAAAUGCACAUACUGUGAGCUCGAUGAGUAGGGCGGGACACGUGGUAUCCUGUCUGAAUAUGGGGGGACCAUCCUCCAAGGCUAAAUACUCCUGACUGACCGAUAGUGAACCAGUACCGUGAGGGAAAGGCGAAAAGAACCCCGGCGAGGGGAGUGAAAAAGAACCUGAAACCGUGUACGUACAAGCAGUGGGAGCACGCUUCGGCGUGUGACUGCGUACCUUUUGUAUAAUGGGUCAGCGACUUAUAUUCUGUAGCAAGGUUAACCGAAUAGGGGAGCCGAAGGGAAACCGAGUCUUAACUGGGCGUUAAGUUGCAGGGUAUAGACCCGAAACCCGGUGAUCUAGCCAUGGGCAGGUUGAAGGUUGGGUAACACUAACUGGAGGACCGAACCGACUAAUGUUGAAAAAUUAGCGGAUGACUUGUGGCUGGGGGUGAAAGGCCAAUCAAACCGGGAGAUAGCUGGUUCUCCCCGAAAGCUAUUUAGGUAGCGCCUCGUGAAUUCAUCUCCGGGGGUAGAGCACUGUUUCGGCAAGGGGGUCAUCCCGACUUACCAACCCGAUGCAAACUGCGAAUACCGGAGAAUGUUAUCACGGGAGACACACGGCGGGUGCUAACGUCCGUCGUGAAGAGGGAAACAACCCAGACCGCCAGCUAAGGUCCCAAAGUCAUGGUUAAGUGGGAAACGAUGUGGGAAGGCCCAGACAGCCAGGAUGUUGGCUUAGAAGCAGCCAUCAUUUAAAGAAAGCGUAAUAGCUCACUGGUCGAGUCGGCCUGCGCGGAAGAUGUAACGGGGCUAAACCAUGCACCGAAGCUGCGGCAGCGACGCUGAUGCGUUGUUGGGUAGGGGAGCGUUCUGUAAGCCUGCGAAGGUGUGCUGUGAGGCAUGCUGGAGGUAUCAGAAGUGCGAAUGCUGACAUAAGUAACGAUAAAGCGGGUGAAAAGCCCGCUCGCCGGAAGACCAAGGGUUCCUGUCCAACGUUAAUCGGGGCAGGGUGAGUCGACCCCUAAGGCGAGGCCGAAAGGCGUAGUCGAUGGGAAACAGGUUAAUAUUCCUGUACUUGGUGUUACUGCGAAGGGGGGACGGAGAAGGCUAUGUUGGCCGGGCGACGGUUGUCCCGGUUUAAGCGUGUAGGCUGGUUUUCCAGGCAAAUCCGGAAAAUCAAGGCUGAGGCGUGAUGACGAGGCACUACGGUGCUGAAGCAACAAAUGCCCUGCUUCCAGGAAAAGCCUCUAAGCAUCAGGUAACAUCAAAUCGUACCCCAAACCGACACAGGUGGUCAGGUAGAGAAUACCAAGGCGCUUGAGAGAACUCGGGUGAAGGAACUAGGCAAAAUGGUGCCGUAACUUCGGGAGAAGGCACGCUGAUAUGUAGGUGAAGUCCCUCGCGGAUGGAGCUGAAAUCAGUCGAAGAUACCAGCUGGCUGCAACUGUUUAUUAAAAACACAGCACUGUGCAAACACGAAAGUGGACGUAUACGGUGUGACGCCUGCCCGGUGCCGGAAGGUUAAUUGAUGGGGUCAGCGCAAGCGAAGCUCUUGAUCGAAGCCCCGGUAAACGGCGGCCGUAACUAUAACGGUCCUAAGGUAGCGAAAUUCCUUGUCGGGUAAGUUCCGACCUGCACGAAUGGCGUAAUGAUGGCCAGGCUGUCUCCACCCGAGACUCAGUGAAAUUGAACUCGCUGUGAAGAUGCAGUGUACCCGCGGCAAGACGGAAAGACCCCGUGAACCUUUACUAUAGCUUGACACUGAACAUUGAGCCUUGAUGUGUAGGAUAGGUGGGAGGCUUUGAAGUGUGGACGCCAGUCUGCAUGGAGCCGACCUUGAAAUACCACCCUUUAAUGUUUGAUGUUCUAACGUUGACCCGUAAUCCGGGUUGCGGACAGUGUCUGGUGGGUAGUUUGACUGGGGCGGUCUCCUCCUAAAGAGUAACGGAGGAGCACGAAGGUUGGCUAAUCCUGGUCGGACAUCAGGAGGUUAGUGCAAUGGCAUAAGCCAGCUUGACUGCGAGCGUGACGGCGCGAGCAGGUGCGAAAGCAGGUCAUAGUGAUCCGGUGGUUCUGAAUGGAAGGGCCAUCGCUCAACGGAUAAAAGGUACUCCGGGGAUAACAGGCUGAUACCGCCCAAGAGUUCAUAUCGACGGCGGUGUUUGGCACCUCGAUGUCGGCUCAUCACAUCCUGGGGCUGAAGUAGGUCCCAAGGGUAUGGCUGUUCGCCAUUUAAAGUGGUACGCGAGCUGGGUUUAGAACGUCGUGAGACAGUUCGGUCCCUAUCUGCCGUGGGCGCUGGAGAACUGAGGGGGGCUGCUCCUAGUACGAGAGGACCGGAGUGGACGCAUCACUGGUGUUCGGGUUGUCAUGCCAAUGGCACUGCCCGGUAGCUAAAUGCGGAAGAGAUAAGUGCUGAAAGCAUCUAAGCACGAAACUUGCCCCGAGAUGAGUUCUCCCUGACCCUUUAAGGGUCCUGAAGGAACGUUGAAGACGACGACGUUGAUAGGCCGGGUGUGUAAGCGCAGCGAUGCGUUGAGCUAACCGGUACUAAUGAACCGUGAGGCUUAACCUUACAACGCCGAAGCUGUU